UACGUAGGGCGCAAGCGUUAUCCGGAAUUAUUGGGCGUAAAGAGCUCGUAGGCGGUUUGUCGCGUCUGCCGUGAAAGCCCGGGGCUCAACUCCGGAUCUGCGGUGGGUACGGGCAGACUAGAGUGCGGUAGGGGAGACUGGAAUUCCUGGUGUAGCGGUGAAAUGCGCAGAUAUCAGGAGGAACACCGGUGGCGAAGGCGGGUCUCUGGGCCGUAACUGACGCUGAGGAGCGAAAGCGUGGGGAGCGAACAGG
rnacentral:rRNA from 1 species